UACGUAGGGGGCUAGCGUUGUCCGGAAUCAUUGGGCGUAAAGCGCGCGUAGGCGGCCCUGUAAGUCCGUUGUGAAAGUCGAAGGCUCAACCUUCGAAAGCCGAUGGAUACUGCAGGGCUAGAGUCCGGAAGAGGCGAGUGGAAUUCCUGGUGUAGCGGUGGAAUGCGUAGAUAUCGUAAGGAAGACCAGUGGCGAAGGCGGGUCUCUGGACAGUUCCUGACGCUGAGGCACGAAGGUCAGGGGAGCAAACGGG
rnacentral:rRNA from 1 species